rnacentral:ncRNA from 1 species
AACACCCAUGCGGGAGAGACCCUGGAGACAGGGCGCCGAAGAGGCAAAUCCUCCCCGGAAACUUUCAGGCAAAGCGAACCGCGUGGGCAGG